UUGCAGGGCAUCUUGCUUAAGGCACAAAGCAAUCCAAGCAUCAAUACUACCAGAGAUCUUGUAAUUCAGUGCCUGAUGGUGUACCUCGGGGAACAUACCGAUCAACUCUUCAAGGAGUAUAAUGAUGUUGAUGGAGACAGUGUUUCACAAGACCUCAGUGAGCAACAAAUGAAAAUCUACAAAAUCAAGACCACACUGUCAGAGGACUGGGAUGAUGUUGGUAUCGUGGUUGAGGGGGUGAGAGUUUUGGCUGACCUGGGCAAUGUUCCAAGGGCCUGUGUCAUGCUUAUUGGGUUGGCAUACGCAGUGGAUCUUGCU